rnacentral:rRNA from 1 species
GACGAACGCUGGCGGCGUGCUUAACACAUGCAAGUCGAACGGAAAGGCCCUGCUUUUGUGGGGUGCUCGAGUGGCGAACGGGUGAGUAACACGUGAGUAACCUGCCCUUGACUUUGGGAUAACUUCAGGAAACUGGGGCUAAUACCGGAUAGGAGCUCCUGCUGCAUGGUGGGGGUUGAAAAGUUUCGGCGGUUGGGGAUGGACUCGCGGCUUAUCAGCUUGUUGGUGGGGUAGUGGCUUACCAAGGCUUUGACGGGUAGCCGGCCUGAGGGGGUGACCGGCCACAUUGGGACUGAGAUACGGCCCAGACUCCUACGGGAGGCAGCAGUGGGGAAUAUUGCACAAUGGGCGGAAGCCUGAUGCAGCAACGCCGCGUGCGGGAUGACGGCCUUCGGGUUGUAAACCGCUUUCGCCUGUGACGAAGCGUGAGUGACGGUAAUGGGUAAAGAAGCACCGGCUAACUACGUG